rnacentral:rRNA from 1 species
AUUGAACGCUGGCGGCAUGCCUUACACAUGCAAGUCGAACGGUAACAGGCCUUCGGGUGCUGACGAGUGGCGAACGGGUGAGUAAUGCAUCGGAACGUACCCAGAGGUGGGGGAUAACGCAGCGAAAGCUGUGCUAAUACCGCAUGUGAUCUGAGGAUGAAAGCGGGGGACCGAGCAGCAAUGUUUGGCCUCGCGCCUUUGGAGCGGCCGAUGUCGGAUUAGCUAGUUGGUGGGGUAAAGGCCUACCAAGGCGACGAUCCGUAGCUGGUCUGAGAGGACGACCAGCCACACUGGGACUGAGACACGGCCCAGACUCCUACGGGAGGCAGCAGUGGGGAAUUUUGGACAAUGGGCGCAAGCCUGAUCCAGCAAUGCCGCGUGCGGGAAGAAGGCCUUCGGGUUGUAAACCGCUUUUGGCAGGAACGAAACGGUGUCCGCUAAUACCGGGCGCUAAUGACGGUACCUGCAGAAUAAGCACCGGCUAACUACGUG